UAUGAUAUUGGAGUAUAUUCACAACUCUCUCAAUUCUAAAAAGGUCAUAAAUUUAUUUUUUAUAUUAUUGUUAAUAUACUGAUCAUUCUUAGCGCAAGUGGCAAAGGACUUGGUGAUUAGUACCCGAUGUCCCGAGUUCCAAUCCUAGUUAAUUCAUAUUUUCAGUUAAGUUUAUUUUUAAAUGAAAUAAAUGAAGUGGGUAGCAUGUUAUCUAUCUCUCAAAAAAAAAAUAUUAUUGUUAAUGUAAUUUUUUAAAUAAUGACUAG
rnacentral:lncRNA from 1 species